AUCCUUUCAAAUAGUGCCACCCCCUGGUGACUAAGCAUCCAAAUCUAUGAACCUAUGGGGGCCGUUCUCAUUCCAACCACCACGUGACAGAAACAACUAAAAGAAGGAGAGGGUUACUUUGGGUCAAAGUCCAGGGGGUACAAAUCCAUCACGGUUGGAAAGGCCUGGCAGCUCAGUCCACAGCCACAGAAACUUGCAGUAUCACCUUUACAUCGUGGCAGAUCAGAAAGCAGAACUCGGGCCAACACUGGAAGAAGAGCCGCAGCAGUCACUUCACGGCAAGAUGGAUUGCAGCACAAACCGAUCUCCUUCCAUUCCGCGUCCCAAACCGCAGCUCAAUUAGUUUCUAAAUAAAUGUCAAUGGCUUCUCUGGGAGGCUCUGAACGGGAGGCGUAAGUAUCGGUGGCCAGCCGCAGAAAGAGCCUGUGCUAGCUGUUCCCCUAAAAGGACUCAGCCUUCCUGCCGAGACGCACUGCGCUUCCUGAGAGGCAUCCGUGCCUAGGCAUGCUCUGAACACUGUUGUUGCAAAGUGCUGUGAGAGACCAAAAGAAGAUGGAACCUGUUGUCAAGAUCCCCGUGUCGUAAGAAAUGGAGAUGAGCAUGUAAGCAGAGAGAGGCAAGAGUGUGAAGCCACAGAGGAAAAGGAGGUGUCUCGGGAACAAGAAGAGAAGCCUUACAAGACAAGGGCUCUGCCAACACCGGUCUUGAACUUCCGGCCUCCACAGGUGUUUGUCCUUCGGCCCACCCAGUCUGAGAGUCCCUAAUAAAUUAAAAAUUUAAACAUAAAUCAACAA